rnacentral:rRNA from 2 species
CUUGGUCAUUUAGAGGAAGUAAAAGUCGUAACAAGGUUUCCGUAGGUGAACCUGCGGAAGGAUCAUUAGUGAACGCCCUCACGGGCUUAUAACUAUUCCAAACCUCUGUGAACCGUGCCCUUCGGGGCUAUUUUACAAACAUGGUGUAAUGAACGUCAUAUAUCAUAACAAAACAAAACUUUCAACAACGGAUCUCUUGGCUCUCGCAUCGAUGAAGAACGCAGCGAAAUGCGAUAAGUAAUGUGAAUUGCAGAAUUCAGUGAAUCAUCGAAUCUUUGAACGCACCUUGCGCCCUCUGGUAUUCCGGAGGGCAUGCCUGUUUGAGUGUCAUGUAGACUCAAUCCCUCGGGUUUCCGAGGAGAUUGGACUUGGGCGUUGCCGCUCUGCCGGCUCGCCUUAAAAGACUUAGCGGGAUAGCACCGUAGUCGGCGUAAUAAGUUUCGUCGGUGAAGGUUGUGAUGACUGCUUACAAUCGCCCUCGGGCAAUUUUUGACUCUGACCUCAAAUCAGGUAGGACUACCCGCUGAACUUAAGCAUAUCAAUAAGCGGAGGA